UACGGGGGGGGGCAAGCGUUGUUCGGAAUUACUGGGCGUAAAGGGUUCGUAGGUGGCCAACUCAGUCAGACGUGAAAUCCCUCAGCUCAACUGGGGAACUGCGUCUGAUACUAGAUGGCUCGAGUACAGGAGAGGAACGCGGAAUUCCAGGUGUAGCGGUGAAAUGCGUAGAUAUCUGGAGGAACACCGGUGGCGAAGGCGGCGUUCUGGACUGCAACUGACACUGAGGAACGAAAGCCAGGGGAGCAAACGGG
rnacentral:rRNA from 1 species